UGAGGAAAUCACAUACUGAAAGUGGAAGGACAAUGCCCCUGAAGGUGUUGUUCCUGAAGGUGGCAGAGGCAGGAACCGAAGCCCAGCUGUAUGUUCAGGGACGCAGCAGCUUCAGGCCCCAGCAAACACCCCCAACAAAGCUCACCCAGGAGAAGCAGAUGUGGAACAGGCAUUGGGCAGCACGGGUUUGAAAAGGAAUAGCCACCCAUGAUGAAAACUGUAUUCAGAGUAGUGCUUGUGGAGUUAUAUAUGUGUAAACCAACAGGUUUGAACAACAAAAUAACAAAAUACAGGCUGUUUUUGGCUCCAAGUCAACUUAUUGAAUUUUUUUUUACAAUUAAAAAAUUUUAAACAUCC
rnacentral:lncRNA from 1 species